rnacentral:lncRNA from 1 species
GGAAUCGUGGCGUGAGAACUGCGGCUUGAAGCUCCUCGACGGGGGUCCGUCUCCAGGGAUGCUUACGUCGGGGAGAUCGUCCGGGUUUUUACUCGACCCGACCCGCAUUGAAGAUCCGCGCGUGAACAUCCCGCGUCCUGAAGAGCCAGGUGGAUCCGACAUUGGGGAUUGCGUAGAAUAAACAGACGGAGUUUGAACGGAACGCUGCUCCGAGGUGUUUGGGAUUGGGGAUAAGGAUAUCCGAGGCGAGGAUAUGCAGACGAGGUCCAAGCAGAACCGGUUCGUUCAAUAACAACGGUCGAUAAAGGAGAAUACAGGUUAGCUCUUUCUACAAACUAUAAUGGAAAUGUACCUCUUGCAUCGAAUUAGAGAGUGUUGAAUAACGUUUUAGCUAUGGAUUGCUUAGACUGAAAAUUCUAAAAUUUUGAUCAUUUGUUAGUUUUUGUGUUUCUUUUGGUAAUUUGUUUAUCUUUUCUUUUAAAUUUUCUAUUAACUUUUUUCGUUUUUUUGUUCUUGCCUCCUUAAUUUGGAAGAAAUUUUUGUGGCUAUAAGUGUUUUUAAAAUGCAGAACCAGGGGUAUGGAGGAACGAGUCUUAAGGUGGAAGAAAAUGAUCUAAAUUAAGGAUGGUUCCACAAUUUUGUGACAAGAGCUAUCCACUUUCCUUAUUUAUUGAUGAUCAAUCUUUUUUUAUUACAAGGCUGACAAAUUACCAGGUUAGUGAAUUUUUGCAUGAAGAGACAAAAUGUACAUGGAUCUACUGAAAUGCUUUUUCUAUGAGACUUCCAACCUUUCAUCAUGAAAAUUUAACUAACAAAAAAAUUAACUAAUGUUAGCCUUUUAUAAAGGAGUCUUGGCCAUUUUACAUUAAAUUUAUCUAAUCAUGGUUCUGACGUGAUAAAAGAUAAUAUUCAUGCUUUAUCACCAACAAAUUGACAGUGGUUUGUUUUCCUAUCAAGUGAGUAAUCUACGAAUGAAUAGGUAGUAGUGACAAAGUUUUGUUUUCUUGAGAUAUAUUUGUAAUAGUAUAUUUGCAAUUACGAAAAUCAAAAGAGUCAAUAUGUCCGAGUGGUUAAGGAGACAGACUUGAAAUCUGUUGGGCUUCGCCCGCGCAGGUUCGAACCCUGCUGUUGACGAUAUUUUUGAAAUUUGUUUUUUAUUCAAUACAAACCAUAGUUGUAAACGACAAAACUAGCCUAAUCUUUUUGCAAUGAUAAGCCCAAUUCUUGGCCCAUUAUCAAUACCACAUCGUCUCCUUCGCCGCGCAAUGUUACGUGUCAAAUCUUCUUAGAGGUCACGAUCUGAAUCCGAUCGCUGCUGUAGAAUCAGUUUCGUGCUCCGCAGAUUCUCGAGCUUCCUCUCUCUCUGUCUCUCACUUGAGGUAGGUUAGGUAGUCUUCGCUCUGUAACCAUUUAUCAAAAUUGAUCUCAGUUUAGAAUUCUUUAAGCUCAUAUUCAACGGUGAUUGAUCCAGAUCUUCCCGAGCUCCAGAAGAAGGGAUCGGAGAGAAAGAGAGUUUCUACGUUUCUCGAUCUGAAUCAUAGUAAAAGAUCUCUUCUUGAGAAAGAGACGAAACGUCUUUUGCAGAAGUUGCCAGUUUUGAAUUUGAAGUUAAAACUACCGAUUCUUUGAUGAGGUCUAGGUAGAAUCUAGGAUUGUAAUUGAUCUGCUCCCUUUGCUUUGAGUGUUUACCUAUACCUUCAUCCAACAGUUAAGCAAUAAUGAAUACGGAGAAUCGGAAUUUUCCAGCUAGGCCUCCUCCUCCUCCGUUCUCCUCCUCUCCUUUCGCAUCUGCUCCGCCGCCAGGUGUUGUUCCACCUCAAUCCGGUGGACCAGAGGCGGUUGGCUUUAGACCACCUGCAAGGCCUUUCACACCUUCUGGUCCUCCUAUGGCUCCACCAGCGGGUGUGAUGAGGCCUGGCCAACCUCCUUUGGUUUCUCAGCUUCCAGGGAGUAGACCUCCACCGCCAUCAGCUUAUGGUCCUCCCGGUGGUGGUGGUUCUUUUCAGCGGUUUCCAACCCCUCCUCCUAGUGGUGUACCACCACCACCUCAAACUCUUGCAGGUCACUUAUCGCCUCCCAUGUCUUUUCGCCCACAGCAACCAAUGGCUCCUGUUACAAUGGGACCUCCUCCACAGAGUAUGACUUCUGGAAUACCUGGAGGGUUUGCUUCUCCCUCUGGUCCUGGUUUUCAACAGUCCAUGCCUGGUGGUCCACAGCCAUCUUAUCCUGGUUAUCCCAGUAAUCAGGUCUUACGGGGUCCCCCAAAGCCGUUCCAGUCUCCAUCUCAGGGUCCUCCGUCUGCAGUCUCAUCGUAUCCUCCUCAGACAGGAGGUUUUGCUCAGCACCCAGGACAGCAGAACAUGCAUCCAAGCUAUGCUCCUCCUCCUACCAGUAACGUUCAAGGCUUGGUUGAAGAUUUCAAUUCGCUGUCCCUUUCAAAUAUUCCGGGGUCGCUUGAGCCAGGACUUGAUCAUACCUCGUUCCCAAGGCCAUUGGAUGGUGACGUGGAGCCGAGUUCGUUUGCUGAAGCGUACCCUAUGAAUUGCCAUUCUAGAUAUCUGCGGCUGACAACUAAUGCGAUUCCAAAUUCACAGUCUCUGGCGUCGAGGUGGCAUUUGCCUCUAGGAGCUGUUGUUUGUCCACUUGCUGAGGCUCCUGAAGGGGUUAGUAUUUGCCAAACUAAUAAUCAAGUCUUUUAAAUUCUUUCAUGUUUUGAUAAUCUGGAACUAUUCACCUACUAUAUAUGAGCAUAUAACUUUUCCCUUAUUUUGAAAAUUGUCGUUUUAUCUGUUCAGGAGGAAGUGCCAUUAAUUGAUUUUGGUUCAAGUGGCAUCAUCCGCUGCAGAAGAUGCCGUACCUAUGUGAAUCCUUAUGUUACUUUCACAGAUUCUGGAAGAAAGUGGCGGUGUAAUAUUUGUUCUAUGCUUAAUGAGGGUAAUUUUUCCGAAUCUCCAGGAUUAGUGUUGUUAACCAAUGUGAUAUAGAACGUUGUUGUUGAUUGAAUAUGCCUUGUCUAAUGGUCGUGCAGUUUCUUUCUCUCUGAUUUUUCUUAAUCGUUAGUUUUUCCCAGUUGUCUUUGUCUAAUCUGUCCUAGUAGAAUUAUCGUAAAUGGAUUUGGUGAAAGCUACAAGGAACUGUUUUUGGUGUUAUGUAUGCUUUUUUCUGUUGUUGUGGAAUGUCAUCCCUGUCAAUAUACCUGUACAUCUGAUAUGAACUUCUCCCAGUCACUGGAAUGUCCUUUCCAUAAACUAUUUGAGAGAUGGCUUUACGUCAGUACAUGCAGGCAUAUGUUUAUAAGAUGAAUAUUCAUGGUUAUGGGUCUAAUGUUUUGUUCAGUGCCUGGUGAAUACUUCUCACAUUUGGAUGCUACUGGCCGAAGAAUGGACUUGGAUCAAAGGCUUGAGCUGACAAAGGGCAGUGUUGAAAUUAUUGCUCCAACAGAAUACAUGGUUCGGCCUCCGAUGCCACCAAUUUACUUCUUCCUCAUUGAUGUAUCAUUUUCUGCUACUAAAAGUGGGAUGCUCGAGGUAAGCAUGUUGGAUUUUAAUAUUCCACCUUGUAAUUUGUUGUGCAAUACCUUAGUUAGUAAGAACCAAUCCAUGUCUGCUUUUAUCUGAAUACACUACGUAUCGAUGGAUCUUGACUAGAUUAGACAUGCUGUCCCCUGUAGAGGCAUGCUGUGAAACUUUGAUCUUAUGCUGACCCUUUUUUCUCCUUUGGCAGGUUGCUACUCAAACGAUUAAGUCUUGUUUAGAUAACCUUCCUGGUUAUCCCAGAACUCAAAUUGGAUUUAUUACUUACGACAGCACUUUACAUUUUUAUAACAUGAAGGUAACAUAAUUGUAAAUUCAGUGGAUUUUUUUGUUCUGAAAUACUCUAGCCUUAAUCGCGUAUUUUUAUUGGACCUGGGUAAUGCAGUCAUCUUUGAGUCAGCCGCAAAUGAUGGUCGUUUCUGAUUUAGAUGAUAUAUUUGUCCCAUUACCGGAUGAUCUCCUUGUCAAUCUGUCUGAGUCUAGAAAUGUAGUGGAAGCCUUUUUGGACAGUCUGCCUCUGAUGUUUCAAAAUAAUGUCAAUGUGGAAUCGGCUUUUGGUCCAGCCCUCAAAGCGGCGUACAUGGUUAUGGUUAGUUACUGUGCUGCCAUGUCAAAUGAAAAUCAAAUAAUUCAUUUGAUGUGAGAGUCCUAUAUGGAAGCUCAUCUGGAAUUUGUAUCAGUUUGUAGUUGACUCUGUUUUCUCUUUCUAUUUCAGAACCAACUUGGUGGCAAGUUGCUAAUUUUCCAGAACUCGUUACCUUCUCUUGGUGUUGGGCGGUUAAAGUUGCGCGGAGAUGAUCCUCGUGUCUAUGGAACUGACAAAGAAUAUACUUUAAGAGUAGCUGAAGACACCUUCUAUAAGCAAAUGGCUGCCGAUUCGUCUGCUUCGGCGCAGAUGAUUUCUCCUCUGCUUCUUCUUCUGAAUCAUCAUCAUUUUCGUCGUCUUCCUCGUCUGCUUCUGCAGCUUCCUGCGCCGCGACGGCUUCUCUCGCAGACAUCUGCCUUUCGUCCUCGAACUUAACCACCGGAUGACGGAGGAUCCUAUCGUCUUCGCCGUCACCGUGAUCUCUGACGGAAUCGUGGCGUGAGAACUGCGGCUUGAAGCUCCUCGACGGGGGUCCGUCUCCAGGGAUGCUUACGUCGGGGAGAUCGUCCGGGUUUUUACUCGACCCGACCCGCAUUGAAGAUCCGCGCGUGAACAUCCCGCGUCCUGAAGAGCCAGGUGGAUCCGACAUUGGGGAUUGCGUAGAAUAAACAGACGGAGUUUGAACGGAACGCUGCUCCGAGGUGUUUGGGAUUGGGGAUAAGGAUAUCCGAGGCGAGGAUAUGCAGACGAGGUCCAAGCAGAACCGGUUCGUUCAAUAACAACGGUCGAUAAAGGAGAAUACAGGUUAGCUCUUUCUACAAACUAUAAUGGAAAUGUACCUCUUGCAUCGAAUUAGAGAGUGUUGAAUAACGUUUUAGCUAUGGAUUGCUUAGACUGAAAAUUCUAAAAUUUUGAUCAUUUGUUAGUUUUUGUGUUUCUUUUGGUAAUUUGUUUAUCUUUUCUUUUAAAUUUUCUAUUAACUUUUUUCGUUUUUUUGUUCUUGCCUCCUUAAUUUGGAAGAAAUUUUUGUGGCUAUAAGUGUUUUUAAAAUGCAGAACCAGGGGUAUGGAGGAACGAGUCUU